ACUGAGGAGUCCCACAAUAGGACGAAACGGACGUCC
rnacentral:hammerhead_ribozyme from 1 species